UACGGGGGGAGCAAACGUUGCUCGGAAUUACUGGGCGUAAAGCGCGUGUAGGCGGGCUGGAAAGUCGGGCGUGAAAUCCCCAGGCUCAACCUGGGAACUGCACUCGAAACUCCCAGUCUAGAGUGGUGGAGAGGGAAGUGGAAUUCCUGGUGUAGAGGUGAAAUUCGUAGAUAUCAGGAGGAACACCAGUGGCGAAGGCGGCUUCCUGGACACCAACUGACGCUGAGACGCGAAAGCGUGGGGAGCAAACAGG
rnacentral:rRNA from 1 species